rnacentral:rRNA from 1 species
UACGAAGGGGGCUAGCGUUGCUCGGAAUGACUGGGCGUAAAGGGCGCGUAGGCGGAGUGUUUGUCGGGCGUGAAAUUCCAGGGCUCAACCUUGGGGCUGCGUUCGAGACGGGCAUUCUGGAGUGGGGAAGAGGGUCGUGGAAUUCCCAGUGUAGAGGUGAAAUUCGUAGAUAUUGGGAAGAACACCGGUGGCGAAGGCGGCGACCUGGUCCUUGACUGACGCUGAGGCGCGAAAGCGUGGGGAGCAAACAGG